CCCUUAGAUGUCCUGGGCCGCACGCGCGUUACACUGAUGCAUUCAACGAGCUUAUAACCUUGGCCGAGAGGCCUGGGCAAUCUUGUUAACGUGCAUCGUGAUAGGGAUAGAUUAUUGAAAUUAUUAAUCUUGAACGAGGAAUUCCUAGUAAACGCAGAUCAUCAAUCUGCAUUGAUUACGUCCCUGCCCUUUGUACACACCGCCCGUCGCACCUACCGAUUGGAUGGUCCGGUGAAGCCUCGGGAUUGUGGUUCUUGCCGCUUUAUUGUGGCGUGACCGCGAGAACUUGUCUAAACCUUAUCAUCUAGAGGAAGGUGAAGUCGUAAC
rnacentral:rRNA from 1 species